rnacentral:ncRNA from 1 species
AAAAAAAACCCCCUCAUCAUGAGGGGGAAGACAGGGAUGGUGUCUAUGGCAAGGAAAACAGGGUCUACUGGUUA